rnacentral:rRNA from 1 species
UAGAGAGAAGCUUGCUUCUCUUGAGAGCGGCGGACGGGUGAGUAAUGCCUAGGAAUCUGCCUGGUAGUGGGGGAUAACGUUCGGAAACGGACGCUAAUACCGCAUACGUCCUACGGGAGAAAGCAGGGGACCUUCGGGCCUUGCGCUAUCAGAUGAGCCUAGGUCGGAUUAGCUAGUUGGUGAGGUAAUGGCUCACCAAGGCGACGAUCCGUAACUGGUCUGAGAGGAUGAUCAGUCACACUGGAACUGAGACACGGUCCAGACUCCUACGGGAGGCAGCAGUGGGGAAUAUUGGACAAUGGGCGAAAGCCUGAUCCAGCCAUGCCGCGUGUGUGAAGAAGGUCUUCGGAUUGUAAAGCACUUUAAGUUGGGAGGAAGGGUUGUAGAUUAAUACUCUGCAAUUUUGACGUUACCGACAGAAUAAGCACCGGCUAACUCUGUGCCAGCAGCCGCGGUAAUACAGAGGGUGCAAGCGUUAAUCGGAAUUACUGGGCGUAAAGCGCGCGUAGGUGGUUUGUUAAGUUGGAUGUGAAAUCCCCGGGCUCAACCUGGGAACUGCAUUCAAAACUGACUGACUAGAGUAUGGUAGAGGGUGGGUGGAAUUUCCUGUGUAGCGGUGAAAUGCGUAGAUAUAGGAAGGAACACCAGUGGCGAAGGCGACCACCUGGACUAAUACUGACACUGAGGUGCGAAAGCGUGGGGAGCAAACAGGAUUAGAUACCCUGGUAGUCCACGCCGUAAACGAUGUCAACUAGCCGUUGGAAGCCUUGAGCUUUUAGUGGCGCAGCUAACGCAUUAAGUUGACCGCCUGGGGAGUACGGCCGCAAGGUUA